UACGUAGGGGGCAAGCGUUGUCCGGAAUCAUUGGGCGUAAAGCGCGUGUAGGCUGCUUCGCAAGUCGGAUGUGAAAGCCCUGGGCUCAACCCAGGAAGUGCAUUCGAAACUGCAGAGCUGGAGUCCUGGAGAGGAAGGCGGAAUUCUCGGUGUAGAGGUGAAAUUCGUAGAUAUCGAGAGGAACACCGGUGGCGAAGGCGGCCUUCUGGACAGUGACUGACGCUGAGACGCGAAAGCGUGGGGAGCAAACAGG
rnacentral:rRNA from 1 species